UUAUGUAUAUUUUAUUUAAAUCUUUUAGUUAACUGAUUUCGUAUUGGAUACGCUCUUAAAAUUGAACUUUAAGAAAUGCAUGCCGUCAAUCCGGAAUUGAUUUGUCAUUUUAGUGCGAAGCAAAAUGAGGUCCAGAAUAAAUUAUCAUAAUGACUAAACCGAAUUAAUUAGCAACUGUUAUGCAAAAACUUUUAUAAAAAGCUUAUCCCCAUAUGUAUUGGAUGUUAGUUAUUUCAACUCAGCUGAAGGAAGUGAAUAAUAUUCUAACAAUGAAAUCGAUUACCAUAGCUCUUUUAUUAAUAGCCAUAAUUGGAGUUACCUUGGGGUUAAAAGAUCCCGUCUGCGGUAAACCUGAGGGUGGGGACCUCAAAUGCACUAUGGCACGCAUGGGAGGAUUUGUAUAUAAUCUCAAAAAGAACACCUGUGAACAUCAUGCUCGCUGUUGGGGGGGAAACACCAAUUAUUUCUCGGAUCUCGCUGCUUGCGAAAAAAAGUGCAAGGAAUAAGAAAAUAAUACAUAUGUAUAUGUAUAAACGUACUGUACACCUACUACUAUGCCUUAUACCAUAAACUAUACUAUAAACACAUACACAAAUAGCGUGUAUCCAGAUUCAAUAGAAGCCGAAAGUUCUCUCAACUCAAAACUCUAA